GGUAAUACCCACAAAGAACUCCAAUGCCAGAGCUUAGAAUUUAACCGCCGAGGCAACGUAUACACCACGAAAUAACCAGAUAAUAAUUUAAGACAGGAUGUAAUUAGUUGCCGAGAGGCCCGGACUAUAAAUACUCCGGGACGGAGAGAAAGAAGCAACCCCUGAAUGGGGCUGGAGAACGCUUUCUAUUCUGAGCGUGUCUUACAAAGGGGAGCUUUAACUUGUCUUCAUUACCACGUGGCAAGACAACAGCGGUCUCAAGGGGCCUCAUGCUCGGCAGACUUACUUAAUUGCUGUGUUUCAGACAAGUGUUCCUGACCGGUCUCGGCUGACAUCUGCACCGCAGUGCUGCUCGCGGAGUGUCUUCCUGGUGACGCCAUCACCGUUCUUCUCGGGGACCAGAGGGCUUUAUGUAACAUGGAGAUGCUGCUUCAAAACGUUAUGGUGGAGAAUGUGCCUGAAGUGCGGGAGGGAUGUCCAGUGGUGAUGAUCUGGUCUUCAUGCUCCUGUGGGUACGGAAUGGAGGAGAAACAGAACACUCUAAACUACUGCAGCUAAAGCCAAGUUAGCACCCGCUGACCACAGCAGUGUUGGACACAAAGAACAUUUAUAUUAACUGCAGGGUGGCCACUGAAAUUCUCGUCAGCCGUCUGGCAGUGUGUUUUCCCGCAAUGAAUCAGAAUCCACAUGCUGGACCGUUUGCACCAUCUGUUACAGGAGUGUCACGGGGGAGACGACUCUAGACACCUGGUGUGAUGACGUGGAAAUGUCAGCUCCAGGAACUAUUAGUGAAAGAACUGCUUGGUAUCCACGGCCAACCUCGAUUUUUAAAGCAACUGAAACACCCAAGUAGUUGCAGCCAGCCUGGGAGCGUUUACUGGCAUUUGACUAGCCGGCACACGUGUGUAUGAUGAACAAGGACUUGUGAGCUGUCUCACUGUUGUGGACUCUUGAAGCUUGUUUCCGGUCACAGCAAUAUAAGAAGAGCUUUCUAUUCUUUGUUGUCUUAUCCAGCUUAAAGGUGCACACACAUAGACCCUUCCCUUCUCACUGAUGGUCUGCAGGAUGUAAAGAUCCUCAUAUGUAUCACACUUAAUUCUGUGUUUGAACUGAAAGCUGUACAGCCAUUAGUGAAGCCAGUUUUCAAGCCCAGAUUCUCCAGGCCCCAAGGAUCAGGCGUCUUACUCCAAUACAUGGUGAACUUGGCUAUCAAAAGCUGUUCACAAACCAAACCCAUGUGGCACUGGCCAUAACCUGAUGUAGACCUUUCCCCCUCCUCUUAGGGGACAAAAAGCAGGCUACAGAAGAAACCCAAGAUUCCCCAAAGAGGGGUAUUUGAAAUCCCCUGCCUUCACUUUUUUCAAGUUACCUCAGUCUCAGACUGAGAUCUGGAUGAUUCAAUAAUUCAUCUUUUUAUUUUUUUGAAUUUUUCUUUAAUGGACUGAAUAUAUGUGUUCCAUCCAAAUCCAUUUGUUAAAGCCCUAUCCUCCUACGAUGGCUAUAUUUAGACUAACAAAGUAUUUAAGAGAGGUCCUAAGGCCUGGGGCUCUGAGCUGGGGUUGAUGGCCUUGUAAGAAGAGAAUGAGAGAACUUCUGCGCAUGCUCCGUGGAAAGGCCCAGUGGCGGCGCAGAGGGAAUGCAUUUGUCCGCCUGUCAAGUAGAGAUCUGUCCUCAGCAAAGGAAGUGACUGCAGCUUUACGUCUGAAUUCCCCAGUCUCCAGAACUGUUAUCAAAUAAUUUCUGUUGCUUGAGACACUCAGUCUAUGGAAUUUUGUACUACAGCUCAAGAUAAUAAAAUAAACAAGAUAAUAAAAAGCUCUGUCUCCUGCUCCAGCUGUGAAACACGCCUAGCAAUAAGUGGAUGAAUCACUGGCAUGAUGCAGAAACAUGUGACGGUUCUCUUCCAUUCCUUCGGCAGCACCAUUCUCUCUCCACCGCCCAGCAUUCUGUGUCUCCCCGACCUGUGAUGACCACGUGAACAAGGCAAACAGAUUCAUGGGAAAAUGGAGCUUUAAAAUCUGGUGGCUUUAUAGACAAGCAGGCAGGAAAUUUAAAUCCAAUCAGACAAAAUGAAAGAGCUGGCUUUAUCUCUUCUAGUCACAGAUUACCUAACUAUUCAGAGACUUUCCUGAAAAAGCCACAUCAUUAAAUUAAAAAGAAGUCCACUCUACAGAUGGAAGAACUGUUGUUCUUUAGUGAUGAUGCCUUGAUUUGGGACAUCCUGUGUAAUAAAAAACAUUGAUGGGGAAAAGCUGUAGUGCUAACACCCCCAAAGUAUUUAAUUGAAGAAGAUGGCAGCACACUGAAACAGCACUAAAUGAAAUGCAGAAGAAAAGGAUGGCUGAAUGGAGAAACUAGGAAAUUGGUUCAGUUUAACGAGCACUUCCUUCUGAAAAGCACUUUCCUUUCUGGAAAGAUGGACCCCGUGUCUGUGGCUUGCCUCGGUUCAUUCUCCAUGAUAAUGAUGACCUUGCCAGAUCCUGAUUCUUUUUCUUCCAGGUUUUUUUUUUUCUUUGCAAAGAAUCUAGCAACCCCCUCUUUGUUCUGCUUUAGAAACAUCUGUUGCAAAUAUAAUGUUGAGUUUAUUUGAAGCUAACAGCUGCCCAGUAGCAAUUCAAAGAAACAGCCUAGGUGAAGUUGUUCUAAAAUUCCUUCCUAAAAGGGCCAGUUUCACAUACUGUACCCUUAAUUGCAUUGAAAUUAUGUGUGGUCAGAGCUUGAGGGAUGGAAACAGUUCUAACUGGUUAGCAAGAUGGACCAGUAUUUUGUGUCUGAUGAUACCCCUGACGUAUUUAGUCCAAAUAUUUAAAUAUUUAAGUCUUCAUAAAAGGGACAAGAAAGUCACAGUUUGGACUUGAGGCCAACUGGCUCUUGGCUAGGGCUUAUCAAGUAAAGAGGCGCUGUCCAGACACUGCAAGCUCAAUUUACACCUCCCUACAGCUCACACUAAAAUAAAUUUGAAUAACAUAGCAGUCUUGAGUCUUUUAGUAGGGAUGCUUUUCAAAAUUGAGCCAACAACAAGCUACUCCUAAAUCAACCACUAAAAGAAAAACCACUAACACCAGACAGACCUUGUACAACCUGGAACCUUUGAGGCCUAGCCCAGAAAUGCGAGCUAAUUCAACAAGGAACAUUUAUGAAAUGCUAGCGAGGCUCCUCUGACAACAUUAAAAAAAAAAAAAAAAAAGUCUUUAACCUUGAAUUUUCAGAAGGUUCAAACAGGACUAAAGCUCAUAUAUCUAAGUUUUGCAUAGAGUCCACUGUGAGCCUUUAAUAGUUUUAAACUUAUAUAUACCCACAGCCGGACAACAGCUACAGGAGACAUGGAGGGCUGCUGACCGCAAGUUGUUAGUGGAAGAGCUGUAGGUGAACAUGUAAAGCCCCGGUACAGAGGGAUACAUCUAAAGUCACUCUACAAAAGGAAGGAAGGGCUAAAGGAAAUUCAGGCCUUCCUAACUCAAAACCCCCUUUCCCCACCACACAUGGAUCUCAGCUUUUGGUGUCUGCAUGAGAACGUAAUAAGAAAGAAGACACAGAAGGCCGAGCUCAGGGUGGUGAUUGUUGAACAAUGUGCUGGUCCUGUCCCCAUCACCCCAUAUCCUAAAGGUGGCUUCCUUUCUACCUCCUCCUCUUCUCUUUCUUCCUUUCUCUUCUCUACCUUUAAUUUCAUCUGCUCUCCAUAUUGAUUAGUCCCUGUCUUAGUUACUACUCUACUUCUCUGAAGAGACACCGUGACUAAGGCAACUUAUACAUGAAAGCAUUUAAUUACAUGCUUGCUUACAGUUUUAGAGGGUGAAUCCAUGACCAUCAUGGCAAGAAGCAUAGCAACAAGCCAACAGGCAUGGCUUUGGAGCAGUAGCUGAGAGCUUACCUCUUGAGGUAACCUUAAGACACACAGACACACACACACACGCACACACACACACUGUAUACAACAAAGCAGAUCAUCCUCAGGAAGGGAAAUGAUAUACCCAAGCUCACUUGCAAGUGAUUCAUGACAAUUACACUGUCUUCUCUUCCCAAUCUUCCCCAGGGACCAAAAUAGUCAUAUUUGCUCUUCUUGCUUCUCUUUUCUUUUUUUCUCUUCCUCUUUGUUUGUUUCUUUAUUUCUAUCUUUUCUCUGCUUCUCUCUCCCCUUCUUGUCCUAUCAGAGGAGAGGCCAGGCCCCUCUCAUCAAUGUCUAUGUCCCCCUGGUGCUGACCUCAAGGUUAACUGCAAAGGCUCAACCCCUCCCCCAAGCCUCCAGAGCUGGUAUAUCAUUCCAGUAUGUGGCUGGCUGGAAUUUAGGGCAGCAACUCAGCAAAACAAAGUUAUUGAAUAAAUGACAUGAUUAGUUGUGUGUUCAAGAUACUAAGAUAGAUUUCAUAAUGAACACUGCAUCAGAGUAGAGGGAAUGCAGAUGGAAAUGGGACCAAGGGAUGGGGUAGUGAGAGCCUGUCUAGAAAAGGCACCCAGAUCUACCGGAAGGUGAGUAAAAGGCUCUAGGGGGCUGUUUUGAGCUCUUGCAGUUAACCUUGAGGUCAGCACUAGGGGAACAUAGACAUUGAAUAGAGGGGACAGGACAAGAAGGGGAGGGAAUCAGAGAAAGGACAGAAAUAAACAAACAAAGAGGAGUCAAAAGAAAAAAAAAGAAAAAGAAAAGAGAAGCAAGAAGAGUAAAUACGACUAUUUUGGGGCCUGAGGAAGAUUGGGAAGAGAAGACAGUGUAAUUGUCAUGAAUCGCUUGCAAGUGAGCUUGGGUAUAUGAUACUUUCGUUCAUGACAUAUAAUACAACUUAUUUUCUACUCUAAUUGCUUUGCUGGGCUUGGGCUGUUUUUACCUCUAUUUGCUAAGCAAGGCUACAGGGGAGGGCAAGCAGGAUUUGGCCACAGAACCAGGCUGAGAGUUUUAGAAGAGAAUCUGAGAUGUUGGAUGAGGACCAGAGGAAACCAUUUGGACAGACUCUUUCUGAGUUUUUCUAUGGCUGGACAUUCUGAGCCAAUUAUGUCACAGGUCAUUAUGACUUGAAAAAUGUCACAUUGACUCUGUGUAAAGUACAGGUUUUCUUUUCUUUCUGGCGUUUGGUUGAAGGCAUUGUAAUUUUGUGUGCUGGGUAUAAAGACAGCUUAAAAAAAACACAAAAGUAAGCAAUCACUUUAAUACAUAGUGGCAUUCUUUUAAAAAUCUCCCAAUAUUGUGUCAUUUUAUCAAAGCUGCCAUUUAUGAGGAGGAGGAGAUCAUUCUUUGAGUUACUACCUCCUAAAAGAAGAGGACAGAUGAAAUUACUUCAAAAGGGGUUGGCUGAAAAAUCCUCUCCUAACUUUGGCUGAAUUCUUGAUUUGUCAAAAUGUUUUUCAAAAGACAUAUGUGGGCUCCAUCAGUCCAGGGCCUUUCCACUUUGCAUGUAUAAGUAUUUGCCUCUUUAAUGAGACUGUGUUUGCUUUACCAUUAAUACUGUGUAUAAUGUAAGAACAGAUUGUUAAUCUCAAGCUUUCAGCUAAAACAGUGCUUAGGUAGCACGAUCAGGUCAGGGCUCUAAAGACGAUUUGCAUAGGGGGUGCUGGCAACAUAGGAGGCAGCUUAACAUCAUUCUUUAAAAGAGCUUAAAUGUGGAUCCUGAAGUCUGUUUCCUCAUACUGCCCAUGCCCUUCAUUAGCUCAGCUGUGUUGCAGGAGUUAGUUUGGUUUUCUGUAUUCAUCCCAAAAGGUGAGUUGAGGUCUUCAUGAGAUAGGCUUAUUAGAAGAGAAGAAUAAAUUACAUCCCCUCAUCAGGGGGCUGGGCUCUCACCUCUGCCUCAAAUUCAGCUUCUUGCUUAGCAGCUGAAUACCAGCCAUAUUUCUUUAAGUCCUGCAGUACACCAAGCAUUUCCUGCUUCAGGGUUUGGCUGUACAUAGCUUUUUUUCUCUGAAACACUCACUCUCACCACCAAACAUAGCUCAUCUCUGAGGAUGCAUUGCAAAUGUCCUUUGCCAGUGUGGCUUAAGUUCACUUUUCCUGAUCGUGAAGUGUAAAUAACUUCCUUUUGAUGUAUUCUUGCCCCACCUCUGUCAAUGGCUACAGAUGAAACUGAGGCCUUACAUACACCAGUCAAAUACUGGACCAUGGAGAUAUAUUCCCAGCCCUCUACUGCAAUCAAACACAAUUUUAGUCAUAAUGGAUUGUGUGGAAUCCUGAAAUUAAGGUUGAAAUCUGGCAUUUCCAGAUGGACUCCCUUUCUCAGCUGGGUUCCCUCUCCCCCAAUCUGGAGAAUCCCAGAUCUUCUAAGGAGUAUCACAUAGUCCUCAGAAGGAUUACAAGCCUAACCCUUUCUUGAUAUAAAAAUCAAUCAAUCAAUCAAACAAACAAACAAACAAACAAACAAUGAAGCAAGCACCUGGGAUUCCUGGAAACACCCAGCUUAUGCUAAUGAAUAUCUUGGUGUCUUGGCUUUCAGCCAAUGACUUUUAACUGUACCUGGAGUUCUUCCCCUACCCAUAGGAUAAUUAAGUACUGUGUCCCCCUCUUAUGAUAGGAAUGUUACUGUAUGUAAAUCAAGUAUCCCUGGUACCCCUAGGCCUAGAAAAUCAAACACAUUCACCUUUAACCCCCCCCACAGUCUAAGGUUUAUGACUCCCCAUUUCUCACGAAAUAAAGGGGGCUAGCAUCAUCUAUUUUA